rnacentral:rRNA from 1 species
UAGUCCACGCCGUAAACUUUGGGUGCUCGACGUAGCGGGUAUUGACCCCUGCUGUGUCCAAGCUAACGCAAGAAGCACCCCGCCUGGGGAGUACGGUCGCAAGACUAAAACUCAAAAGGAAUUGACGGGGGGCCCGCACAAGCGGUGGAGCAUGUGGUUUAAUUCGAAGCGACGCGCAGAACCUUACCUGGGUUUGACAUCUACGGAACCUCUUGGAAACUUGAGGGUGCCUUCGGGAGCCGUAAGACAGGUGCUGCAUGGCUGUCGUCAGCUCGUGCCGUGAGGUGUUGGGUUAAGUUCCGCAACGAGCGCAACCCCUACCAUUAGUUGCCAGCAGUUCGGCUGGGCACUCUAGUGGGACUGCCGGUGUUAAACCGGAGGAAGGUGGGGAUGACGUCAAGUCCUCAUGGCCUUUAUAUCCAGGGCUACUCACGUGCUACAAUGGUCGGUACAGAGGGUCGCCAACCCGCGAGGGGGAGCCAAUCCCAAAAAGCCGGCCUCAGUUCGGAUUGGAGUCUGCAAUUCGACUCC